rnacentral:lncRNA from 10 species
GUUUGCCUGAAGACCUGUUCUGCCAUCUGAUCACCCCCCAGGGAAGCAUUCUCCCUAACAGAAAAAACUUGACUUUGUUAUGCUCAGGCCAAGGCGUAAUUCUCCUCACUCUCCACCCAACUCCAUGCCAUAGAUGCCCCUAAGCCUUAGGUAACUCACUUCCCUUUUCUGAGUCGUAAUAAGGUCCUGUUUUGUAAAGUUUUGUGUUUUUUUUUUUCCUUUGAGACAGGGUCGCAUUUUGUCGCCUAGGCUGAAGUGCAGUGGCAUGAUCAUAGCUUACUGCAGCCUCAGACUCCUGGGCUCAAGUGAUCCUCCUGCCUCAGCCUCCCCUGUAGCUGGGGCCACAGGCGUGUGCCACCACGCCCAGCUAAUUUUUAAAAUUUUUUGUAGAGAUAGGAAGUCUCAGUAUGUUGCCCAGCCUGGUCUUGAACUCCUGGGCUCAAGCAAUCCUCUGGCCUUGGCCUCCCAAAGUGCUGAGAUCAUAGGCAUGAGCCACUAUGCCCUGGCUUUCAUAAGGUUCUCGAGAGCAGUGAAAAAGAUAAUGUCCACUAGAACUCCAAGGAGAGUGCUGGGUGUAUAGUAACUGCUCAAUAAGCACUCAGCUCCUCUCUUUCCUGAAAAACCCUUUCUACAAGUUGAGAGUAUGUCUUUGCUGGCUAGAAGUAGGACAGUUGAAUGUCAAGUUGAGCUUCAGACAUGCAGCUGGAUUCUUCAUAUUGAAAGAAGUUGGAUUUCUUUCCUGUGAGCUCUCAAAGUGGUGGAGACUCAGGUCAUGUUCUAACGAGGCUUUUCAAGAGUUUCAAAAACUGGAAGGAAACUGCGAGGAAGGAGAUGGACUUAGUGGUGCCAGGACAGAAGGUGAGCAGGAGAGGAGACCAGAAGAAAGGAUGGCGUGGCAGGUCAAAGCUAAGGUCAUCAGUACCUGCAUAAAAGAGACUGGGUCUUUUUCCUCCUGGAGUUUUCCCAAGUUUUGGUGGUAGGAGGCUGUAGGUGGAGUUGACCUCAGAGUGUUCUGAUGGGGACCUCAAGUGAGAGAUGGCAGACCUGUCCAGCCCCUCUCCAUCAAGAGAAGGAAGAACCCUCCCGAGGAGGCAGCCUGGGUGGUGCUGGGAUUUGGCCAAGACACUCCAUCUGCUGGAAAGGCAACGGAAAGCUUCGAACCACUUUCUUUUGGCUUGUGAACUCACCGGCUAAUUGACAAAUGUGCGUCCUGUGCAUGAGCUGCGAAGAUUUUCCAUGAUCAGCAGAGCCCAGUGAUAUCUGGGGUUCACCAAGAGCUGUGGGGCCCUUUGUGUCUAGAAACUUCUGGCCAUUGUCAGCAGAGAGGCCCCUGGUCGCUGUUCAGGGUCCUGCUCACUGGCAACCCAUGACAUACUGAGAGUCAUCAUUGUCCAAUGCUGAGCACAUAGUGAGUCCUCAAGAAAUAGUUCUUGAAUGAAUGAGUGAGUGAGUGAGUGAAAGAACAAGAGAAUAAAAGAACAAAAUGAGACCAUAUGCUUUUUACACCAAGUUGUAAGUUCAAUCCCUAACUGUGCCAAAAAGUUUUAAUUCUUUCCAGAAUUAAGGCCAUGCCAUGUGGUCCUAUGAGGGCCUUCUCUGAUUGUUUGUUUAUCAGCGAAUAUUUAUUGGGCUCCUACUAAGGGCAGGUUCUGAGCUCUAGCUGGACGCACCAGCCCAGCCAUCGGAUGGUGGGAAACCGUCUCUAAGCGCUGGAAGCUUAUCAGCGUGGGUGGGGACAGCAUCCCUGGCUGUGAGGAAG